AAAUUGAAGAGUUUGAUCAUGGCUCAGAUUGAACGCUGGCGGCAGGCCUAACACAUGCAAGUCGAGCGGAAACGACACUAACAAUCCUUCGGGUGCGUUAAUGGGCGUCGAGCGGCGGACGGGUGAGUAAUGCCUAGGAAAUUGCCUUGAUGUGGGGGAUAACCAUUGGAAACGAUGGCUAAUACCGCAUAAUGCCUACGGGCCAAAGAGGGGGACCUUCGGGCCUCUCGCGUCAAGAUAUGCCUAGGUGGGAUUAGCUAGUUGGUGAGGUAAUGGCUCACCAAGGCGACGAUCCCUAGCUGGUCUGAGAGGAUGAUCAGCCACACUGGAACUGAGACACGGUCCAGACUCCUACGGGAGGCAGCAGUGGGGAAUAUUGCACAAUGGGCGAAAGCCUGAUGCAGCCAUGCCGCGUGUAUGAAGAAGGCCUUCGGGUUGUAAAGUACUUUCAGUUGUGAGGAAGGGGGUGUAGUUAAUAGCUGCAUCUCUUGACGUUAGCAACAGAAGAAGCACCGGCUAACUCCGUGCCAGCAGCCGCGGUAAUACGGAGGGUGCGAGCGUUAAUCGGAAUU
rnacentral:rRNA from 1 species